rnacentral:rRNA from 1 species
ACGCUGGCGGCGUGCCUAAUACAUGCAAGUCGAACGGCUUUUCUAUGGAAGCUUGCUUCCACUGAGAAGAUAGUGGCGAACGGGUGAGUAACACGUGGGUAACCUGCCCAUAAGAGGGGGAUAACAUCCGGAAACGGGUGCUAAUACCGCAUAGUUUUCUUGAUCGCAUGAUUGAGAAAGGAAAGAUGGCCUUUGUGCUGUCGCUUAUGGAUGGACCCGCGGCGUAUUAGUUAGUUGGUGAGGUAACGGCUCACCAAGACGAUGAUACGUAGCCGACCUGAGAGGGUGAUCGGCCACAUUGGGACUGAGACACGGCCCAAACUCCUACGGGAGGCAGCAGUAGGGAAUCUUCCGCAAUGGACGAAAGUCUGACGGAGCAACGCCGCGUGAGUGAAGAAAAGGUUUUCGGAUCGUAAAACUCUGUUGUCAGAGAAGAACAAGUUGGAGAGUAACUGCUCCAGCCUUGACGGUAUCUGACCAGAAAGCCACGGCUAACUACGUGCCAGCCGCGGC